rnacentral:rRNA from 1 species
AGUUCAAGAGUACGUGAAACCGUUUAGGGGUAAACCUGAGAAACCCGAAAGGUCGAAGGGAGAAAUUCAUUCGCGUUUCGACGUAGGCGUGGGACGGGGUCGAGCGACGGGACGCGUUCUUCGGAACGGGACUCGCGCCCUCCGUCCUCUCGAACCGACGGCGAACGCGUGCACUUUUCUCCUGGUAGGACGUCGCGAUCCGUCGGGUGUCGGUCUACGACUUGCGGUGGAGCCCGCCCGUCGUCUCGUACGUACGGACGGACCCGCUCGUUCCGGCCGACUCGCUCGACGGUAUGCCCUAAGGUCGGAGGCCGCUCGUUUUUCCAAGGAGCGUUCGACUCGUCGCAAGCGCGCCACAUGCGUCGGCACGCGGACCCGGUGCCGCGUCCGACCUCUGGUGACUGUUGGCGACGACGUUCUCGGACAGACCUCUUUUUUUUCGAAGACCGAUCGGCGACGCUAUAGCUUUGGGUACUUUCAGGACCCGUCUUGAAACACGGACCAAGGAGUCUAGCAUGUACGCGAGUCAUUGGGAAUCACUAAACCUAAAGGCGUAAUGAAAGUGAAGAUCUUCCUCGCGAAGRUCGAGGGAAGACGGGCGUACGGACGUUCGCGCGUCCGCGUCCUGCAUUCCCGGGGCGUCUCGUUCACAUCGCGUGAAGAGGCGCACCAAGAGCGUACACGCUGGGACCCGAAAGAUGGUGAACUAUGCCUGGUCAGGACGAAGUCAGGGGAAACCCUGAUGGAGGUCCGUAGCGAUU